GCAAGUCGAACGAACUUACUUUGGUGCUUGCACCGAAGUGAGUGAGUGGCGGACGGGUGAGUAACGCGUGAGCAACCUGCCUACUACAGGGGAAUACCACUUAGAAAUAGGUGUUAAUACCGCAUAUGACCACAGACCGACAUCGGUCAGGGGUGAAAGGAGUAAUCCGGUAGUAGAGGGGCUUGCGUAUCAUUAGCUAGUUGGUGAGGGUAAUGGCCCACCAAGGCGACGAUGAUUAGCCGAUCUGAGAGGAUGAAC
rnacentral:rRNA from 1 species